UACGUAGGCAGCAAGCGUUGUUCGGAGUUACUGGGCGUAAAGAGUACGUAGGCGGUGCCGCAAGUCCGGUGUGAAAUCUCCUGGCUCAACUGGGAGGGUGCGCUGGAAACUGCGAUGCUAGAGUGCGGGAGAGGAAAGCGGAAUUCCUGGUGUAGCGGUGAAAUGCGUAGAGAUCAGGAGGAACACCUGUGGUGUAGACGGCUUUCUGGACCGUGACUGACGCUGAGGUACGAAAGCGUGGGGAGCAAACAGG
rnacentral:rRNA from 1 species